AGGCUACACAUGCUCUGACUACUGUAGCCCUUACCCCCGCCCCAUUAUAUUGCAGUGUACCAGCAGAGACCGAAAUCCCUGAAGCGUGGCACCGUGUCCAAGGUUGAUGCGAUUCCGUAAAGGAGGGCGGGAGAAAUCUAUCAAGAGGCGGGAGUAGCCUAUCAAGCGCAUAAUCUGGCAAACACUCUGAAAGGGGUGUGUGCAUUUUCAUGAUCGGAUUAUCGUUUAGACCUAAAUUUAAUUUCGUUACAAAUUGAAUUUCUCUCUUCCAUUUGGAAUGAUUGUUCUAUUGCGUUGUAUAAUGUAAACUAUAGCCUUACGCGCUUGCGUCCAUUUCCAAUUUUAUUGCGCAAAACAUAUGCCGUAUUAAAGCAAGGCCUUCUCCAUCUAAAUAACGUGAUCAUCCAGGAGUUAUGAAUAUCUAUUUUGCAAUAUUUGCCUUCAUGGCACCUGUUGUUAUUGUUAUGAUAACGGUAGGGGUAUCAUGUGUAAUUCAUCGAAGGAGGCACAGUCGGAUUGAACGCUCACUUCAAUGAUGGACGCUCUGGAUCACCAUCACCCUCAGACACCAUGGCACAGCCCACACCCCUGGAAGCCUCCCUGGAAGCCAUCAUCAUGACAUUCCACAAGCAUGCUGACAGUGGAGAUGCCAUGACCCUCAGCAAGAAAGCUAACCAACCUCAUCAAGGCAGAGCUAUCCAUCAUCGCUGUGAAGGGUGGUCCUGAAUGGGAUGACCUGGUGACGAUGCUGGACCAGGACGGUGACGGCGCUCUGAACUUCAUGGAGUACCUUACCCUGAUUGUAUCCCUUGCCUGCAUGUGCAACUGCGUCCUGAAAGAGAAAAUGUGUUUGCAUUUCAUGAAAAAAACCUGCGUGCUUCCAUCUGCUUUCUACAGUGUAUUGCAUUAGGCCUACAUGUCACACUAAUGUCUCAUAUCUCAUUGAGUACAUUGGGUAAAUGCCCUCCUCCCUGUGUCCACACGCAUGCACGCACGCCCGCACAGACACAAAGGGUUGCAUAACUCGGCAAUAAUUAUGAGACUGAUCCUCAAACACAUUUACCCACAUGGAUUCGUUGUCAGAAAGUAGCUCAGUUGGUAGUGCAUGGCGCUUUCGACAACAGUAUAUUGGGUUUGAUUCCUGGGAACACCCGUUGUAAAAUGUAGGCGUGCAUGACUAAAUCACUUUGGAUAAAAGCCUCUGCUAUAAAUGGCGUAUAUUGUUAGAUUAUAUUAAGAUCUCAAGAAUGCUGCUAAACAGAGCAUAGCAUGUGAGAUAGUAAACAGUGUGUGUAGGCUAUGUGUAGGCCUAAGUAUUUACCGUGAUAUGUUUUAUCUUUGCUGCUAAUAAAUGGGCAAAAUCCCCAACCAAA